GAUGAAGAACGCAGCGAAAUGCGAUAAGUAAUGUGAAUUGCAGAAUUCAGUGAAUCAUCGAAUCUUUGAACGCACAUUGCGCCCCCUGGUAUUCCGGGGGGCAUGCCUGUUCGAGCGUCAUUACAACCCUCAGGCCCCCGGGCCUGGCGUUGGGGAUCGGCGGAGCCCCCCGUGGGCACACGCCGUCCCCCAAAUGCAGUGGCGGUCCCGCCGCAGCUUCCAUCGCGUAGUAGCUAACACCUCGCGACUGGAGAGCGGCGCGGCCACGCCGUAAAACACCCAACUCUUCUGAAGUUGACCUCGAAUCAGGUAGGAAUACCCGCUGAACUUAAGCAUAUCAAUAAGCGGAGGA
rnacentral:misc_RNA from 1 species